rnacentral:lncRNA from 1 species
CCAGAACAUAAUUUGUUAUUUGUGCUUAUAUAUAUAGCAGAUGAGAGAGACUGAGGGAAUGGUGCAAAGUAUAUGGGCCUGAGCCUAAGUAUGGGCCUGAGGCUGUCUAGGAGCGCAUUUACCGGUAUAUCCCUCAGAGCAACUCCAAUGAAGGGUAAAAAAAUAAUACCUGGCUUUUGAAACUAGAGCCCUGUGGCCGCAAAACUAAUACAGUUCUCACUUUGGAUGUGUAUAGUACUGCAGUCAUCAGUAAAAGAGGAUCUGAGAUGGAAACAUGUUUUUUCUUUUCUUUUAAUGGAUAGUGACCUGUAGAGUGAUGCAAAGGUGAAAAAAGGAUUCUGUAUAAAAUUUGAUCAGGGACAACUUGUUAUACAGGUUCAAUCUUCACAGCACUUUGAGGUACAGGAAGCCUCUUCUACUAACUUUACUUAUGAUUAACUGGUAUGAGACAACCUGCUGUAUCUUGCGUUCUCCUUUUAAGUGUGGUGGUGUUUUGAGCACCAGAACACGGUGGUUCCAAAGUUAUUACAAAGCCAUUAUCAAUAAAUUCCUUGAAUGGUGUGCCAGUUCCUGGAAUAACAUGUCAAUAGAACAGUAUCCUUUUGCAAUAUUGUCCUAAACUAUGUGUUGCUCCAGUCCUAGCAGAAUCAGGUUCCUACUGGCAGAUGCUCUCUCUCCAAAAUGUAUUCUUAUGGGCCACAAUAUCCUGUUAUUCAAAGCUUUCCUGGAGAUCUGUCCACCUACAAUAAAUGUCAGUUCAUUAACCACUUUGAGAAGCUUUAGUUUAAAAUGACAGGUCAUUUUAAAAUAACUGAAAAAACUGGUUAAAAAAAGAGAAAGAUUGUCCUAGCCCAGGGGUCAGCAAACUUACCGCGCCUUGGGCCAGUGUCUCCAGCGCCGAUCGCGCGGCGGGCCGGAGGGCAGGGGAGCACAUGCCCAUACACAUGCGCACAUGCUAUUUCCGGUGCACUUCUGGGUCGGAGGAGCACCAGAAAUAGCUUGUGCGCAUAUGCACGGGCCUCCUCCGACCCAUAUAUGCACCGGAAAUAAUGCUUGUUCAUGUGCAAAUAACGCUUGCGCAUGUGCUCAAGCUAUUUCCGGUGCUCCUCCAACCCGAAAGAGGGCAGCAGCGCAGCGUCGGUAAGAGCGGGCGGUGGCAGCAGCAGGUGGCGGGGGUCUCCGCGAGUCAGAUAAACGAGUCCCUUGGGCCUUAUCCAGCCCGCGGGCCUUAGUUUGGGGACCCCUGUCUUAGCCAUAUGAAGGUCGGAUAGAGACUGGGAAUCAGGAGUGCUGUGACUGUGUGGGAGCUGUGGGCAAAGAGGUAGUAGACAUGUUCAGACAUUCAGAGAAGAGACUAUGGGGCUUGAGUAUCUGAAAUGUUGCUGUCUGAGUGCCCUGCCUGAGCACAUUCAGGCACAUAGCCAAGUUGCUGUUGAUUCAUUAAAUUUCUUACCCACCCUUCACCAUGGGUAGGUUACAAUGAUUUUAAAAUAUUGAAAAAAGUCAAAACAACUUACAGCCAAGAGAACAGAGUGAGUCCUAAAAUAUAUAGCUCAGGUGUCUUAAGGCCAAGGUAGAAAGGUUGAUGGAUGACCCAGUACUUCCCACUGGUCACAGAGGUGAGAACCAUGAAGUUUGUUCUUAAUCACCUCUCGCAAAAACCGAGAUGCAUCUCCAUACUUACAGGAAGUGCACUGUAGACUUCAUAAUGUAUAUAAACAGCAGGAGCAACCCCCUUAGCACCGAAAUAAUUCAAUUGCUACUUAACACUUUCUGAAGAAGUAGGUUUUUAGUGCUAGCAAAAUAAAUUGCACAAACCCAAAUAAUAGACUGUUCCACAUCUUGAAUUAUUCAAGGAUUUCCUCUGCUUCAAAAUAACCAUUUUUAAAUGCUCAGCUCCUUGCUAUUUGAUUUAACCUUAACUUGGGCCCCCUGGAGCCUGGUAAACUUGGAGAGCUUUGCUCCUUUUACUGGAUUCUAAAUUAACUGUAGCCACUCAGGAAAAAGACCUGAACAUUAUCAUGUACAAUUCAAUAAAAGCGCCUAUGGUUUGAAAAUGUUGGGAUGCAUGUGGAACAGAAUAACAAAUCACGCUGAAGAGAAAUGUAAUGCUAUUAAUAUUACUUGAAUCAAUAAUAAGCUUCUGCCUGGAAUGCAGGGUUCAGUUUUGCUCAGCUUAUCUUAAAAGACCUAUUCCUAAAUUAUGAAAGAUACAAAGAGAGGCAAGAAGCAUAACUGGCUAAAAACAGUUUUGAGAGUUUUAUAUCGCAGGGGAAAUGAUCAAAAGGGGUUGACACAGGUGCAUGUUAUGUAAACAGAGAAAUGGUCCUUAAAAUGCUAUUUUCUAUAUUUAUAGUGAUAUUUCGCUCUUUUGCUUUAUGCUGUCAUCAAUAGUCACUAGUGUUAGGCACAAUGAAAACCAAACUAUACAGAGAGGGGUGGAUCCAAACUUGUGAUCAGCAAGUUUCUGCUUGAGGGGUCAGGGAUGUGAUUUUUGCCAAUUCCUAUCUAGAGAGCAUUGAUCCUUAGCAUGAAUCUUACUUACAUAUUCUGUUGGAAAAUAUCGGCUGAUGAAGACUAUUACGAAACAGUAGUAUCAUUCCAGAGACACUGUCCUUUUUAGGCUUUUGAGACGUCUUCUGUUGAAACUUUUGAAAGACUGUUGUGAGACUGUCCUUAGACAUCUGUUUUGAACACAUGGCUUGAUGGUCCUUGCUACCACUCUGUUAUAUUGUACAUAUGAACUUUGAUUGGCUUAUUCCUGUAAUUUGAAUGAUAUCAUUAUUCUAUUAUAUAUUCUCUACAAACUAUUAGCCUAUGUGUUGUGUUUGUAUUGUAAAAAUAUGCUCCAGCAGGUUGGCAGACCUCCAGAACAGUGUGAGGGGUGGCACUGGUAUAUGUGUGCAAAAAUAGCUUCCCCACCUUCAGCAGGUAGUCUCUACUGGAUCCUGGUUCCUUCCACAAAUGGAAAGAGGGCUUCCACUUACAAGGGCAACCAUGUAUCCAACCAAAUUUCCUCCCUUUGCUUAUUAAUCUAAGGUUACAUAUACUUUCACCUCUCUGUCCUUCAUAAAGUAAAACCAACCACUUUCCCUACAUUUAUGGGAUUCCAUCCAACACUCUACCUCCCGUAUCUUCAAAUGCCAUUGAUAAUAUCUGGCAGGAAAACAAAGUGCUUUUACAGCAAGCUCUUUUUGCUUAGAAAGCCAUAUGUUAUAAAAUAUGAAGGCAUUAUUACCAGCAAUAUGUUGGUAGUCAUUUAUAACUGUUAUUAGUAUCUGUCUUUUAAAACAGAUGUGGCUAGAUUUGAAUGUAAAUAAAAAGUGAGCCAGUUCACAUAUGUAAAGUGACUGCUUCACCCACACUUUGUGUUUUUUGUUUUGUUUUUUCAUUCUGUGCAUCUUUCAUCCAUUUCAGUGAGAUCUGGAUGCUGCAUGGAGAUAACAUGCAACUAUUCCUUUUAUUUCUGUGAUCACAAAAGGUACUGAUAUCAUCCCAGCAAUGGCUUUGGUUUUUCCGUGUGCAGAUGAUUUUACAUUGGCAUUUCUUCAUGUGACUUCCCCCUCCCCCAUGCAAAAUAUGUGAACUGCCCCAUAAAAUGAAUUAGCGAUAUAGCUCGUCUCUACCAGUAUGUAUAUUAAACAGCUACAGUAGCAGCAAGUACAUUACAAAAUGAGCAAAUUUCCAUGCUUUACACUAAUGAAGCCUCAAAAAAAGGUUUUUGUGUAGAAAUGUACUUUGUUGUCCUUGGUUUUGUUCUCUGCUCCCCCCCUCCACUGGCAGAGAAAGGGGGGUGCGGUGGGUGCUGUCCGCCCCAGGUGUCAUCCCUGAGGGGGGUGACAUUGCUGCGCCACUCCACUGGGACACCCGCUGCAGGUGGUAUCUCCCUGGGAUGCCCGCCCUGCCCUUGGGUGCACAAGGUGCCAGAGCAGCUAGUUCCGCCUCUGCUCCUCCCCCCCAUUUCCUCUAUCUGUGCCAUGUUUUCCUGCGUAAUUUAGUAUGAUAGAUGCUAACUUCAAUCUCACAAUAUCUAUAAGACUCCCUUUCUCCUUGCCUUCAUUUGUGCUGCUGCAUUUCACUCCAUUGGCAGUAUCUGAGAAAAUGUUCUCAGGCUCCUACUUACCUGUUCUAAGCUACCCUGCGAUAAGAGAUAUUUUCCAAAUAUGUAAAGGAAGCCAACUGACUGUACUUGUCAAAGAGAGGCUGAAAUGACAGGCAUAUGUUUAGGUAACACGCCAGCCUUCCUUUGCAUGCUGCUGUCACCUAUUCUGAAGUUACUCAAGAUUAGAUUUGAAGCGGUACAAAAAGGCACUGGGCAGGCAGAUUGCUGCUGCUUUGAACUCUAUGUAUCAGAUUGACUUCUCUGUCAGAUAUUAUUAAACUAGAGAAUAGCUGGUGGAUGUUAGUGGUUCAGGCUAGGAUUUCUUUCUCCUUUUAAAUCAUUCAUCAGCUUUGGGAGAGUUUGCAUUGGGCUAGAUAACAUAUAACCCAACUUCACUAUUGUCUGCUUUUUGUAACUGUUCACAUCAUUGUGGAUAACUUGGUUCUGACUUGUUGCAAAUCUGUGGUAUUUUAUUUCUUUUGUGGACUGUUAUCUUGUUACCCAACAGGAGCUCAUAAUUUGAUUUUUUUACAUGAAGGCUAGACAUCUUACAAAUCAGCUCACCAAUGUAGUUUUGCCCUGUUGCAGCCCUUUAAUAGCAUAGGCUGGCAUAUUUUCUAUAUUUUGCUUAUGCUGGAUAUCACAUCUUUUCUAUUACUUUUAUGGGAUCUUCUAUAUUUGGGAGGAAAAAAAUCUGACCUAGGGGCUUCAUUUUUAAAUAUAUUUAUAUUUGUCCAUGUUUGAAGGGUAUCUUCUCUUGGUUCAGUUUUGCUCAUUGUGGUGGAGGAAGAAAGAUAGAAAAAAGAAUAUUUUUUAGUUUAAUUGGCCAAGUUUGUGCUAAUGAUGCUCAUGGCUUGAAGGGUUUUCUUUUAAGUUUAGCACAUUGUCAUUCUGCCAGCAAAUGCUCAAGGUGACUUAAUUGUAUUCUGGUUGAGACUCUACCCCUGCAGUUAGUUUUUUCUUGCAGUUCCUUGUGUGCUGAGGGAUUGGGUUUAGAUGCAGCUGGAGGAGCAAUAGCCUCACACAUGAAGGUGAGAGAGGAUAAGGUCCCGAAGUGGUGGACAGAAUGCAUCAAGAGAACUUAAGUUACCAUGCCUUUCGCCACUAAAACAGUCUUCCUGUUCUUUGUAGGGACCCUAAAAUAAGAACAUUAUAAGGUACUUGAGAUUUAAUAUUAUUGUGUGCAAAGCCUGGAGGAAGGCUUAAAAUUUGGGCUAGGGGGCAUAUAUAUUUAUUUUUUACUUUUUGAAUACUAGUAGAAAUUAGAAGCCUGGAGACUUUUCACAGUAUGUGAUAGUUUGCUAUUCUUCUCUUCAUGGUAGGAUUGAGGGUGACUUGGGACAGUGUUAUUGCAGGGAUACUUUGCAGUUGGCAAGUAUCUGCUUUCAGCCUCAGCUGCUGGUCAAAAGAGCUCCAUGGCUCUACUGACCAACCAAAGUGGUUCUGCUGCCUUCUUCAGUUACAUUCACUAAUCCUCACUAUAAAGCUUAUCUUAUUUGGUUGAAUCAGCAGCUGGCAGUGGCUUGUCCAUGGGGCCCAGGGGAGGCUGCAUGCAGAUCUUUAUUGAGAGUGAAGCAGCUGAUUGAACAGCAGCUGAAAUAACAGGACUGGUAUGAAUGCUGAUAGAGAAUAUGAAAGCUUCAGGUAUUUGCAGAAGUCACCUGAGGACAAGCAUAUUAGCCUACCCCUGGGAAUAGACUUGAAAUACUGAAGAUAUAUUCUAACCAGCUUUUCACACAGAACCUCAAAACCAUGUAGUUAUUAACGGCUUCAAAGCCUGCCCUAGACACAAUCUAGUUCCAGAUGCCGUUCGAGAUGUAUUAUCUGAAUAAAUACAAUUAGCCACAGUGCUGAUUGCUGUUGGGAUGUGGGUUACUAAGAGGUCAGGGGCCAUGGAGAAAGUUCUCUCCUACCAUUUUUUUUAGUCUCCGUUUCUUAAAAGAAAAUUAUUUAAUUAAAGGAUACUUUGAGCAUUGAUGCUGGACUAAUCCCUACUCAUCCGUCACACACCAGGAAACCCUAGGGUUUAGGAAGGGCAAGCUAAUUAAUUUCUUUUUCUGUGUGUUGCCCUUUUAAGUGGAAUGCACCUCCAAGUCAGCUGCACAAAAAUGUAGUAUGUGAAGGUAUAGAUAUGAGGAAGGAAGGAAGGAAAGUAUCUUGUGAGGAUGGCCAGAUGCAGAAGAGGCCUGCGCUCUCUUGCAUCUUUAAACAGUUGUGUAAAAGAGGGAGUUUUGGUAGGGGGUGCAAAAAUACAUCCAGUGAAAGGAGAGUCCAGCACCACCCAAGGCAGUCUGUUCCACAGUCAAACAGCAUGCUCAGCCAAAAUCUGCUUCCUUGCAACAACAACAACAAUACCACUUUAUUAUGGUCGUAGACCAGCAUAAGGAGGGGUACAAUCUUUUAAAAUAAUCUGAAAUCUUAAAAAAAACACCCAAAAACUAAAAGAAGUUAAAACAGUGUGUGUGUGUGUGUGUGUAUGUAUGCUUCCUUGCAAUUUCCCAGCACUGGUUCUAGUCCUGCCCUCUGUUAUAACAGGGAACAGGUCUGCUUUAUCUUCCUCAUGAUAGCCCUUCAGAUAUUUGAAGACCGCCAUCAUGUCUCUCUUUAAACCUGUGUCCUGAAGGCUUUUUCAGAUGCCCCUCAUAGGGACUGGUUUUGAGAUCCUUUCAUAAUUCUGGUUGCCCUCUUCUUGACAUGUAAAAUUAAUUUCUCCCCAAACUAGGCAUAGGACUGGGUUCAACUAAUGAGUUCCGCUAGUGCAAUGGGACUUUCCCCAUUGCCUCCACACACCUCAGACUGGCUUGGGUGUGGUGGUUGUUAGGAGAUUCCAAAGAAUAGCAGGCGGGGGGAGAGGUGGUGGUGGUGGUGGUUUUAUUACCCACCCUUCACCCUAAGGUCCCAGGGUGGGUUAUCACAAAAAUAAGAUGUGUCCUAACAAUAUACUGCAUCAACAGAAGUAUAGUGUCCAAUCAAGGGAAGUAAUAGUACCACUUGGAAUACUGUGUCCAAUUCUGGGGACCACAAUAUUAGAAGGAUGUUGACAAGCUAGAAUGUAUGCAGAUGAGGGCAAACUAGGCCUUAUGAGGAGCGCUUGAAGGAGCUGAUUAUGUUUAGCCUGGAAAAGAGGAGACUGAGAAGGAGAUGUGAUAGCCAUCUUCAAUUAUCUUAAGGGGUGUCACAUGGAGCAGGGAGCAUGCUUGUUUUCUUCUGCUCUGGAGGGUAGGACUCAAACCAAUGGCUUCAAGUUGCAAGAAAGGAGAUUCUAUCUAAACAUUCGAAAAAAACUUUCUGACAGAGCUGUUUGGCAGUGGAACAGACUCCUACAAGAGGUGGUGGACUCUCCUUCCUUGGAGGUUUCCAAACAGAGGUUGGAUGGCCAUCUGUCAUGGAUGCUUUAGCCGAGAUUCCUGCUUUGCUGGGGGUUGGACUAGAUGACCCUUGGGUUCCUUUCAACUCUAAGAUUCUAUGACUCUGUGUUCCGCAGGUAAGCAGAAAUUCUUGUGCUGAUGGAGCAAUCUGCAUAUUAUUAUGUUGAAUUCCUCCCACCGUACUCUAGAUGCGGCAGAAUAGAACAGAGUAAUUGCUUUCCAUGAUUUCUGCAUGACUUUUUUAGCAGCAGCAUUGCCCACCUAGCUCAUGUUCAUCCUGCGAUGCCUGUAUACAAUCCCCAUGUACUGCUGCCAAGUCAGGGCUCUCCUGUCAUAUAUGUGUGUUUUUGAUUAUUUGUUUAUUAAUCUAAAUGAAGUGCUUUACAUUUAUCUUUUUUGAAUUUCAUCCUGUUGGUUUUGGUCAGGCAUCCUAGCCUGUCCAGAUAAUUUCUUUCUUUAAUGAUGGUGGCUACCUCUUCCAGUAAGUGCCAUCGGCAAAUUUGAUAAGCACCCCUUCUGCUUCCUCGUCCAAUUUACAUAAAAAUGUUGAGCAAUACAGGGCCAAGGACAGAGCCCUGGAGCAUUUUACUCCAGUUCAAUGUUCAGCAACUAAUGAGCAUUCAUCAGGUACAUGAGCCUAUAAAAUAUAUACUGUGUAGCUAAGUAGGCUCUGUUUUUACAUAGAAUUCAAUGUUAUGAAUAUUAAUGUGAUAUUCUGCAAAUAAAAUUGUUUAAUAAUGAUUAGUUAUUGUGCAAGUUCACUUAUUGUCCCAUAAUGUGCAUCUUCUUGUAAGACAAAAAAAUGAAGUAACAUUUUCACUUAG